rnacentral:rRNA from 1 species
GAUGAACGCUGGCGGCGUGCCUAAUACAUGCAAGUCUAGCGAACGGACGAGAAGCUUGCUUCUCUGAUGUUAGCGGCGGACGGGUGAGUAACACGUGGAUAACCUACCUAUAAGACUGGGAUAGCUUCGGGAAACCGGAGCUAAUACCGGAUAAUAUUUUGAACCGCAUGGUUCAAAAGUGAAAGACGGUCUUGCUGUCACUUAUAGAUGGAUCCGCGCUGCAUUAGCUAGUUGGUAAGGUAACGGCUUACCAAGGCAACGAUGCAUAGCCGACCUGAGAGGGUGAUCGGCCACACUGGAACUGAGACACGGUCCAGACUCCUACGGGAGGCAGCAGUAGGGAAUCUUCCGCAAUGGGCGAAAGCCUGACGGAGCAACGCCGCGUGAGUGAUGAAGGUCUUCGGAUCGUAAAACUCUGUUAUUAGGGAAGAACAUAUGUGUAAGUAACUGUGCACAUCUUGACGGCACCUAAUCAGAAAGCCACGGCUAACUACGUG